CCCUUAGGCAUAAACAAGGAGAGUUAACCUUAACCCAAGUCAUAAACUCUCUUAGAGUUGAGGAAAAACAUAGAGCCAAUACUAAGAAAGAGGAUGAAAAGACUCCUAAGGUGAACCUAGUUGAAAAUAAUACUAAGAAUUUUUACAAGAGAAAUAAUUUCCAACAUAGGGGUAAGAACUUCAAGAAAAAUAAUAGGUUCCACAAUCGUUCUAACCAAAACCAAAACUUCCAAUACCGUAAUAAUAAUAAUAAUAAAACAUUCAAGGGCAAAGGAAGUGAGAAAAGGCUAUGCUUUGUUUGUGGGAGAACUAAUCACAUGGCGAAAGAUUGCUUCUUCAAGAAGAAUGAGGAGUAUAAGCCGAAGCCCAAGUCAAAUCACUAUCAAAGAGAUCCAAAGGCUCAAGUCUAUAUGUUGAUGGAUCAAGAGAAUUCAGCUGAGCCAUCCUUUAGAAAUCAAGUGGAGGAAGUGUAACAUUAGGUAAUGACUCUGUUGCACGUGUGCUUGGAGUUGGAGACAUAGAUUUGAAGAUGACAUCUGGAAAGAUCUUAACUUUGAAAGGAGUGCGACAUGUUCCAGAAAUCAGAAGAAAUUUAGUUAGUGGGUCAUCCUUAGUCCAACAAGGAUACAAGGUUGUUAUGGAAUCCAAUAAAGU